AUGAACGCUGGCGGCGUGGAUAAGCCAUGCAAGUCGAACGAGACUUCUGAAAUUAAUAACUGAGAUUACAUCAAAGUGAAAAAGUCGCAGAAGUAAAGUGGCAGACGAGGUAGGAAUAUAUAGGAACGAACCCCAGGGUCAGGAAUAACUAGUCGAAAGAUUAGCUAAUACUUGAUAUAUCGCAAGAUGAAAGAUUUAUCGCCAUGGGAUUGGCCUAUACGGUAUCAGGUAGUUGGUAGGGUAAUGGCCUACCAAGCCUAUGACGCCUAGGAGAAGCGAGAGCUUGACCUCCACCGAUGGGACUGAGACACGGCCCAUACACCUACGGGUGGCAGCAGGCGAGAAUAUUCGACAAUGGACGAAAGUCUGAUCGAGCGACGCCGCGUGUACGAUGAAGUUUUUCGGAAUGUAAAGUACUUUUAUGAGGGAAGAACGUUGACGGUACCUCAUGAAUAAGUGGUUGCUAACUCUGU
rnacentral:rRNA from 1 species